rnacentral:rRNA from 1 species
UACAGAGGUCUCAAGCGUUGUUCGGAUUCAUUGGGCGUAAAGGGUGCGUAGGUGGCGCCGUAAGUCAGGUGUGAAAUUUCGGAGCUUAACUCCGAAACUGCAUUUGAUACUGCGGUGCUUGGGGACUGGAGAGGAGACUGGAAUUUACGGUGUAGCAGUGAAAUGCGUAGAGAUCGUAAGGAAGACCAGUGGCGAAGGCGGGGUCUCUGGACAGUUCCUGACACUGAGGCACGAAGGCCAGGGGAGCAAACGGG